rnacentral:rRNA from 1 species
GUAGUCCACGCUGUAAACGAUGGGUACUAGAUUUUGUGGGACUUGACCCCUACAGAGUCGUAGCUAACGCGUUAAGUACCCCGCCUGGGAAGUACGGUCGCAAGAUUAAAACUCAAAGGAAUUGACGGGGGCCCGCACAAGCGGUGGAUCAUGUGGUUUAAUUCGAAGCAACGCGAAAAACCUUACCUGGAUUUGACAUCCUCUGACAACGCGAGAGAUCGCGCUUUCGUAGCAAUACGACAGAGAGACAGGUGCUGCAUGGCUGUCGUCAGCUCGUGUGGUGACAUGUUGGGUUAAGUCCCGCAACGAGCGCAACCCUUGUCUUUAGUUGCCAUCAUUCAGUUGGGCACUCUAGAGAGACUGCCGUGGUUAACACGGA